GACGAACGCUGGCGGCGUGCUUAACACAUGCAAGUCGAACGGACAGGCCCUGCUUUUGUGGGGUGCUCGAGUGGCGAACGGGUGAGUAACACGUGAGUAACCUGCCCUUGACUUUGGGAUAACUUCAGGGAACUGGGGCUAAUACCGGAUAGGAGCUCCUGCUGCAUGGUGGGGGUUGGAAAGUUUCGGCGGUGGGGGCUGGACUCGCGGGUUAUCAGCUUGUUGGUGGGGUAGUGGCUUACCAAGUCUAUGACGGGUACCCUGCCUGGGAAGGUGACCGGGGACAAGGGGACUGAGAGAGGGCCCAGUCUGCUACGGGAGGCAGUAGGGGAGAAUAUGACACAACGAGCGGGAGCCAGAUGCAGCAACCUUGCGUGCGUGAUGACCGCCUUCGGGGGAUAAACCGCUUUCGCCUGUGACGAAGCGUGAGUGACGGUAAUGAGUAAAGAAGCAACGGCUAACUACGUG
rnacentral:rRNA from 1 species